AAGUUCGAUAGUUUUUUCGAAUACCUUAACAUUUCGGAAUCAACUUUGCAGAGUAUAGAAAAGAAAACAACUUGACUAUUCAAACGACGACUAUUCAAAUAUAAGGGCUGGUAAACUAAAAAUGAAAACUCCUUAUAUGGAUAAACAUUAUAAACGUUCAUUUCACAUGUACAGUACACGCACGCUAACAGCUGCUUAAUAAUUAACUUACGUAUAUUUGUAAACAUCAGUCGAUAAAUAAAAUGGUACAUUAAUAUGGACAAAAUGGAUCAAAACCUCUGAAAACAGCACUUGUAGUUCCAAUUCUUUUGGGGAAUUUAGUAGCAAAUAUAAUCCUUAAAUAGCUCAUCG